rnacentral:rRNA from 1 species
UACGUAGGGUGCGAGCGUUGUCCGGAAUUAUUGGGCGUAAAGGGCUCGUAGGCGGUCUGUCGCGUCGGUAGUGAAAACUCAGGGCUUAACCCUGAGCCUGCUUCCGAUACGGGCAGACUAGAGGUAUGCAGGGGAGAAUGGAAUUCCUGGUGUAGCGGUGAAAUGCGCAGAUAUCAGGAGGAACACCAGUGGCGAAGGCGGUUCUCUGGGCCUGUACUGACGCUGAGGAACGAAAGCGUGGGGAGCGAACAGG